rnacentral:rRNA from 1 species
CGCGUAGGCGGCAAGGCAAGUCAGAUGUGAAAUCCCCGGGCUCAACCCUGGGAAUUGCAUCUGAAACUGCAGUGCUUGAGUCCUGGAGGGGAUAGUGGAAUUCCCAGUGUAGCGGUGAAAUGCGUAGAUAUUGGGAGGAACACCUGCGGCGAAGGCGGCUAUCUGGACAGUGACUGACGCUGAUGCGCGAAAGCCAGGGGAGCGAACG